rnacentral:lncRNA from 8 species
AUGUCUGAGGCGGACAGUCACUCUGGAAGUAUGUCUCUGAUCCAGUCCAUGCUGCGCAGACUGAGCACUGCAGAAGACACUGAUCAACCUCCUAACACACACCGUAACACACACUGUAACACACACCGUAACACACACCAACACCUCAGAACCUCAGUGGAAACAGACAGGGGAUUCUAUGUGACCCCUCAGGACCACAAUAAUGCAGAGCUCAUAUUCAAAGGAAAGCUUGUUGCAGUGAUUGAGGAUGAUGAUGGUGAUUGUGUUGAUAAUGAUAAUGAUCCCCAAUUGGAAGUUUUGACUGAAAGGGACAACGGUCUGGAAUCAUCAGACAGGGAUUCAGAAAGAGAAGAAUGGAAUUUUGGUAUUCCAUUUUUGGAUGCAGGAUUGGAAAAACUGGGCAACGAGGAGGAAGAGGAAAUCAGCGAAAGCCCUGCUGUGAUUCCCAGAAGGGAGGGAAGGCAGUUGCUACCCUGUCCCCCUGGCCUGGACGCCAGACCCCCACUUCCCCCCCUUCCCCCCAAGAGGAGGGCUAAACCACCGCUACACCCUACAGGGCCACCACCGCCGCCCCCUCCACCAGCCCUCGACCCUAGCCAGAGUGCUCCUGUGUGGGGGAGAGUGGUAGGCGAGGGCCCAGGCUGUGAGCUGAGGCCUACAGGGCAUGGGAGAGGGCCUGGAGGCCAGGAGGAGGAUAUGCUAUCAUCCUCAGCAGAUAGGCUGUCAAUAUACUCAGCUGUCACCCUUAAGUCAGAACGCCGAUUCUCACAGCCCAUUCUGGAUUUUACUCUGAGCUCUACAGCACAGAGGGGUGGGGGCGUGCAGCAGUUGGAGACGACUGUGUCCGUGGCAACACAGGACCCUUCCCACUUGAGGGGGAAGGAUAUAGGGCGCCCCCCUAAAGCCUCUGAGCCGGUGGGGAUGGGGGUAAUGGGGAUACCCAAACCUUUGGAAUUCACCUCACCCAAGCCACUUAUGCCAAAACCUCCACGCAGAAACAGAUCUCUGCCCCAGGUACCUGAAGGGAGAGCCCAGGACAGCCCAGAUGGAAGUUCCUCUUCUGGCUCUGAAAUGAGAGACAUCCCCCUGGCCUCCAGUCUAUAUCUCCAGAGACAGAGGGAGUUAGAGAACCAUCAGAGCCUAGCAAACACAUCGCAGAUGGGAGCGAGAGCUCCAGAACCCCUGCAGAGAUUCGGUGUAACACGGAGGAGGGAGGUUUGUUAG